rnacentral:rRNA from 1 species
UACAGAGGGGGCAAGCGUUAUUCGGAAUUAUUGGGCGUAAAGGGCGCGUAGGCGGCCAUUCAAGUGACGGGUGAAAGCCCUCGGCUUAACCGAGGAACUGCCUGUCAGACUGGAUGGCUUGAGACCGGGAGAGGUGAGUGGAAUUCCCAGUGUAGCGGUGAAAUGCGUAGAUAUCUGGAGGAAUACCGGUGGCGAAGGCGGCAUCCUGGACCGGCAUUGACGCUGAGGAGCGAAAGCCAGGGGAGCAAACCGG